AACUGUAGAAAUUCAUUACUACUUCACCAAGAAGCCCCCAUAAGAGUGGAUAACCUGGACACAGGCAUGUUGAAUUGAAAUCUGCAGAGCAUUUGACAAGAGCUCAGACCUGGAUGGGGUAAACCUCAGUGCACUUCCUUUGUAUUGCCUCAGUAUUACUGGAUUGAAGAAUCACUGCUUCUUGUUAGGAGGUUGAUUUCAUUGCCCGUUUCUCCCAAUUCAUACUCAAAGCACUGAGAAUUUCAAGUGGAGUAUAUUGAAUAUUGCAGUAGACUUCAGGUUGUUUUUUGUUUUUUUGGUUUUUUUUUUUCUGUUUUGUUUUUGUUUUAAAGCAUUUCUGUAUUCAAUUUUUUAAUUCUUUCAUAACCCUAUUGGGUGUUUUUUUAAACUAAAUUAACAUGGCUCGAAUGAACCGCCCUGCUCCUGUGGAAGUCACAUACAAGAACAUGCAAUUUCUUAUUACACACAAUCCAACCAAUGCGACCUUAAACAAAUUUAUAGAGGAACUUAAGAAGUAUGGAGUUACCACAAUGGUAAGAGUAUGUGAAGCAACUUACGACACUACACUUGUGGAGAAAGAAGGCAUUCAUGUUCUUGACUGGCCUUUUGAAGAUGCUGCACCACCAUCCAACCAGAUUGUCGAUGACUGGUUAAGUCUUGUGAAGAUUAAGUUUCGUGAAGAACCUGGUUGCUGUAUUGCUGUCCAUUGUGUCGCAGGNCUUGGCAGAGCUCCGGUGCUUGUUGCCCUAGCAUUAAUUGAAGGUGGAAUGAAAUAUGAAGAUGAAGUACAACUCAAGACAAAAGCGGCGCGGAGCGUUUAACAGCAAGCAACUUUCGUAUCUGGAGAAGUACCCGGAAAUGCGGCUCCGCUUCAAGGAUUCCAAUGGUCAUAGAAACAGCUGUUGUAUUCAAGAAAACUGGGGUGCCUGAUGCCAUUGCCUUGGAAGUGGAACUUCAGAUGGGACCUGAUUUGUCAUACCUAUUACCCAAUGUGUCGGCUUACCGAAUA